ACAUACGACCAUAGGGUGUGGAAAACAGGGCUUCCCGUCCGCUCAGCCGUACUUAAGCCACACGCCGGGGGGUUAGUAGUUGGGUGGGUGACCACCAGCGAAUCCCUUCUGUUGUAUGUU
rnacentral:rRNA from 1 species